AGAGUGGGAAAAAGCAGAAGACCAGAGGUGCCCAGGUAGUGCUGGGCAUGGGCAGGGGCGCAGUGCCGCCUGCAGUUGCCUUUGAUGCCUCUUGGUGCCCUGUGUUUACUUCUUAGAGAUCUAGGGAGUAAGGUCUGGCUCUUUCCCGUCUUAACCCAAGGUUGGUUGGGACUCUGCAGUCUGGCCAAGGGAUGUGUUGUCCUGUCCCUUCUCCCUUAGGUCACUGAAAGGCAGUCAGGUGAGAUGCCCUGUCUGGCCCAAAACGAUCUCGGACCCUCGGUGCUGGUCUCACUCUGGUGAGGCUGUCCCUGAUGCUUGGCCUUCUCUCCAGGGAACCAGUGGAUGAGGUGCUGCAGAUCCCCCCAUCCCUGCUGACAUGUGGCGGCUGCCAGCAGAACAUCGGGGACCGCUACUUCCUGAAGGCCAUCGACCAGUACUGGCACGAGGACUGCCUGAGCUGCGACCUCUGUGGCUGCCGGCUGGGCGAGGUGGGGCGGCGCCUCUACUACAAACUGGGCCGGAAGCUCUGCCGGAGAGACUAUCUCAGGCUUUUUGGGCAAGACGGUCUCUGCGCAUCCUGUGACAAGCGGAUUCGUGCCUAUGAGAUGACAAUGCGGGUGAAAGACAAAGUGUAUCACCUGGAAUGUUUCAAAUGCGCCGCCUGUCAGAAGCAUUUCUGUGUAGGUGACAGAUACCUCCUCAUCAACUCUGACAUAGUGUGCGAACAGGACAUCUACGAGUGGACUAAGAUCAAUGGGAUGAUAUAGGCCCGAGUCCCUGGGCAUUUUUGGGGAGGUGUUCACUGAAGACGCCGUCUCCAUGGCAUCUUCGUCUUCACUCUUAGGCACUUUGGGGGUUUGAGGGUGGGGUAAGGGAUUUCUUAGGGGAUGGUAGACCUUUAUUGGGUAUCAAGACAUAGCAUCCAAGUGGCAUAAUUCAGGGGCUAACACUUCAAGGUGACAGAAGGACCAGCCCUUGAGGGAGAACUUACGGCCACAGCCCAUCCAUAGUAACUGACAUGAUUAGCAGAAGAAAGGAACAUUUAGGGGCAAGCGGGCGCUGUGCUAUCAUGAUGGAAUUUCAUAUCUACAGAUAGAGAGUUGUUGUGUACAGACUUGUUGUGACUUUGACGCUUGCAAACUAGAGACGUGCAAUUGAUUUCUUCCUGGCUUUUUAACUCCCCUGUUUCAAUCACUGUCCUCCACACAAGGGAAGGACAGAAAGGAGAGGGGCCAUUCUUUUUUUCUUGGCCCCCUUCCCAAGGCCUUAAGCUUUGGACCCAAGGAAAACUGCAUGGAGACACAUUUCGGUUGAGAAUGGAAACCACAACUUUUAACCAAACAAUUAUUUAAAGCAAUGCUGAUGAAUCACUGUUUUUAGACACCUUCAUUUUGAGGUGAGGAGUUCCACAGAUUGUUUCUAUACAAAUAUAAAUCUUAAAAAGUUGUUCAACUAUUUUAUUAUCCUAGAUUAUAUCAAAGUAUUUGUCGUGUGUAGAAAAAAAAACAGCUCUGCAGGCUUAAUAAAAAUGACAGACUGAAA
rnacentral:sRNA from 1 species